rnacentral:lncRNA from 1 species
GCAGAAAACACGCCGACGGACCGAGAGGCGACCUUGUCCCUGGUAGCGGAAGCAGGAGCAACGGCAGGAGGGAUGCGGAGCGCUCAGCUGCAGCCGCGCUUCUCGCCGGCGCCCUCGCUGCCCGAGCACAAGGACAGCCGCCCCGCCCGUUCCACCCGGUGCCCAAGGUCCCCCAGCUUCUCUGACCCCUCCGGCGUUUGCGGAACCUCCCGGGUCUGACGAGGACACCGCCGUUGCCCGAGGAGGCUACGGGGCAACGCAGAGCAGGCAGUGGGGACCGCAGGGCAGCCCCGGGGCGCCGUCCCCACCGCCCUUACCCUGGCUUCGCCUUGCCGCCGCGGGGAAUCCGGUGCGGACGCACGCGAACUCUGCCCGGGAGCCGAGGUGACGAUCUACCUGGUCUCGGUAAUAAGUAUUUGCAAAACACAUCACACCAAAAUCCCGUUAACUUCAUGAAAACUCACUUUAUAGGAUGAUUUUUGAAGAACCAGUUUAUUAAGAGAUUACACCAAAAGCAUAAACAAUUUAUACGUCAAACUCCGACUGAAAAAAAAAUAACCGAUAAGGAUGUUUUUUAAAUGUACUGUACUCACAAAUAACAAGACAAAUUUGACCUGUUCAAUAAAUAGAAAUGAAGUGGCUAAAAAUGUUUAAAUGGAAAUGGAAAACAGUCGUCUUCUUUGUACAGUUUUGAAGGGGUGCCCCCUAUUCACGCCUACACGUAGAAAAACCCUGACAAAAUCAGAGGUUCACUUAACACUCCAACCAUAUGAGCGUAUUAAGGUUUCUUUUCAGAUCUUAGGAGAUCUUGUCCACCUUAAUCCCAUUCACAGAUCUUAGGAGAUCUUGUCCACCUUAAUCCCAUCAUAAAGACUGUUG